UCCACACUGGAGCAGCCAGUUCCUGAAGGGACUGCACCCUGUGGAAAGACCCUGCUUGUAAAGAACUGUAACUUGUGGGAAGGGCUCAGGAAAGAGUUAGAGAAAAUCAGGAGUGAAGAGAAACUCAAGAAGAAAGGAGGAGUGAGGAGGGGAGUUAUAGAGUAACUUUGGUGGGACCCUACAGACCAGCCAGGGUCAGCACAUCACACAUGGAAUUGGGCUUUUCAUUCUCACAAUCCUGUGAACAUCCCAAAUCACCAAGUGUUUCCAGGACUUAAUUUCUUUCUAUAUUUUGAAAUCAGAAAAGCAGCUUUAAAUUUGCAAUCAGAGCCUGUGAGCAGCAGACAAGAGGAGUACAAUUGUCUUUGGUCUUCUCUCCCAGAACAAAGAUAAUGUUCUUGAGGCACUACUCUGAGUUCUUCUCCUCUCCUUAGAUACCCAUUCUGUAGAAAACAAAUCAGCUUUUCAGCUCUUUCCAACUCAGCUGAAUGGUAUCAGCACACUCAACAGCUACAUACGGGUGUGACAGACAGCAACAGGGACAGGCAGUCCCCCAAACUCAGAUGAGCUUCAAGAGCAUCUUACUUGAACUCAGAAUUAAACAAAAACAUUUCUUCCUGUCCUUUCCCACCUGAGAGAUGACUGCUGCUCUCACUUUGAGGAGCCAUGACAGGAGAAGGAGUUAAAAAUCUCAUGCUGUUUUCUGGCCAGUACCUUCUUAAGUAUGUCACCCCUCCCCACGCACACAGGAGUUGCACUGCCCUCUCCCUGGAUGGUUCCACAUAUCUGUUCUCUGAAGUUACAGAGAUGGGAAUGAUUUUCCUCAACACGAAAUACUGUAUAAAGAGUGUGGGUGGGAAAUAUGCAGUGUAAUGGAACUGAAACCCCAUAAGGGAAAUCAACGCAGGCAGCUGCUGAUACACUAUUUACUUGGAUAAAUCGUCCAUUUUUCUCCCAGGCCAGAUGACUUGAGGUAUCACCUACCCAGGAUGGCAAGUGCAAAUAUAAAUAAUAAAUAAAACUAACUGAGGAAGAA